GGCGGGCUGCGGCUGUGAGCAGCGCGCGUUCACACCGUCUCCACUCGGCAUUUUAAAGUAAUUUCCAGCUGUGGGGCAGCCACAUCCGUGGGGAUGUGGCACUGAGGGCCGUGGGCACGGCGAGGACCCCAGUCCUCAUCCCCAAGGUGCAGAGCAGCUGGAUGUCGGGGAGCACACAGGAGAAGGCCCGUCACGUGGGAAUAACCCGGUCCUAGACGUGAGCGGAGAUGCCUGCUCCAAAAAUAGCCGUCACUAAAGGAUUUCCUGCCUUCUGAGUUCCCAGCAAUCCGAUGCCUUCGGAGGAAUGAGAUCCUCAGGAAGCUCCUGAAAUGCUGCUCUGAAGCCUCGCACGGCUGGGUGCAGUUAGCGGAGCCAAACAUAGCAGCUCUCUUUAGCAUCAGCAAGUCUGUGCUUGCCUUGGAGCACACGCUCCGUGUUCACAGCCUGGGAAACCAUAACACAGACCGACAUCAUCUCAGUGCAGUUCAUCACUGCGGAGUACAGAAUCUCAUCUGUGCUGCACGUCCCAGCGGGAGGGGCAGCGCUGGGGCUGGAAAACCAGAAUUGGGUUCAGCCGGUAUCUCUGUGAGCCAAAAACACUGAAAUGCACGGCAAAAUGAGAGCAGAGCAAUGGCUGCCGCAGGGAGUGUGGGACCCUGGCCCUUGUCCAGAUGGCUCCAGCCAUCUCCUGCAGCCUGGAUUUUCCCACGGAAGCACGGCUGGGUGAAAGGCUGCUGUAAAGGGGAAACCGAAAAGGGAAUUGGGAAGGAAAUGCACAGCCACAACACGCGGGAAGGCCAAGUGUGAACGUGGUUUUGAAUGUUGAGGGAAACUGGAUGGAAACUGUCAAAGGCUUUGGCCCUCACACUGGCUGAACUUUGAGUGCUGCAGGAGGACGAGGAGGCAGAGGGAGCUGGACAGAUGAUAAGCAGAAAUGAGGUUGUGUGCAGGAGGCAGUGCCAGCAUGUGCUGGGGGUCUCUGGCAGAGAAGGGUCAGGUCAGUGCAGCACCUCGUGGUCCCAUGCCAGCACCCAGACCCAAACCCAAAAGCAGCAGUGCAGACUGGCCUGUCUUUCAGAGAGCCUGGUCUCAGAGGUGCCCUCAGCCUGAGCAGCUUCUGUAAGUGGGCCAUGGAGGAAAAACCACAUGGGCUGUGAAGGAGAUGGGCAAAUGAAGAUAAACGACUGUGUGCGGUCAUACAGCCCAGUGAGAAGGCUUGAGACAAGAGCUUCAAGUACUGCAGAGUUCAAGUCAACAUCCAGCCCUCAACACUGGCUUGGAAAUGAAGGCUGCCUGCAGUGACAGCACAGAGGGGAGGAGAGUCUCAGCUGAGGGCAGAGAAAGAGAAGGGAGCUCCUGGAGUGCUGAGAGCCACGAGCAAGGCCCAUGGGUUGGAAAAAGCAGGUACCAGCAUUAGCACCCAGCCUGCCACCUUUAGAAGAGCAUGGGGGUCUAAGGAGAGGUGUCCCUAAAGGUGGCAAACGGCUCCUUUUCCUUUGCUCAUGCUGAUUUUGUACAACUAGUUCCACUUGCUCUCCUCAUUAAGCCCAUCCUGGCAGGCCACAGGGAAAGGCUUUCACUGCUGGCAUCCUGCAGCAUGGCCAGUCCUGCCCGCAGCUCCCUCCUCACUGAAUAUUCUUCCUUGUAUGUUUCUUUCCAAACUUUUAUUCAACAAUAUAGAAUUAUUUCAAUUAUAACAUAGAACUGUCCAUUGUGAUGCUACAUCCCCUGCCACUCCCAGGCUCUGGCAGGGGCAAGCUGGCUAACCGUGGUCUGUCAAAGGCUGGGAGAGUCAGAAGAGCGGAGGAAGGAACAACUAACCAACAACUUUGCACAGCCUUCACAUUUCCACGUUUUCUGGGUCAGGAAGAGAUCAACAGGGAACCAAAGGUAGAACCUUUUACAGAAGAGCUGUGUUCAUUAGAAGGUGAGUGCUAUCCAGCCAGGCACUCAGCCCUGCCCGUGCCUCACAGUCUGCCCGCUGUCAUUCUAUGCGUGCCGACAAUGAUUCUCAUUCUGCUUAUGGAAAAUUGGGAGCAGCAGCAUCGGAACCUGGGGAGAGACAGGAGGAGGGAAGUGAGCGCUUCAGGAUGCUGCCCUCACAGUGUAUUGCUCUCCUCCAGUUCUGGUGAACUUCCUCCAGCAAACCGUCUUCUCUCUCAUGCAUCUUCUGCACUGGUAAACACGAGAGCUAGAAAACGGGUAAGUUUUCCCCACUGCAAGUUGGACAAACCACAAGAAAUACCCUUCUCUGACUCCAAGAGAGCAAUUGAACAGUUUUUCUAUUAAAACAGUUCUGAAAUCAACGUCAAAAUCCCCGAAUCAACCCUACAGUUGUUAGCAAAGCAUGAGAGCCCAACACCUCCCAGGCCAGGCAGCCCGGAGCAGGGCAGGAGGACAGAGAGCUGGAAACACACAACAGCCAACUCCCACGUUGUACCAACAGCUCACACGUCCUCUGCAGCCCCAGGAGUGCACUGAGACUCCCAGGGCUGGUGGCAUGAAAACCUGAAACCAAUGACUAAGGGAUCCCAAAACAUUCAGACGAGGGGAUGGAAAAGCCAACUUGACCUCCGUGAGGAAGCAGUCCCUUCAGCUCUUUGCUCUCUUCAGCUAUCCCACAGAUUAGAGACAGCAGACAUUCAGACGUAUAGAUAUUUAUUGGUUUCAGUGAAUUAUACAAAUGGAUUGACCUGCUAUCGAUGCCAAUAGAACUUUAUUGGAAUAUGGAAUGUAAA